GAGGGGGAUAACCUGGGGAAACUUACGCUAAUACCGCAUACNACCNACNGGNGAAAGNGGGGGAUCUUCGGGCCUUGCGCGAUNGNAUGAGCCGAUGUNNGAUUAUCUAGUUGGCGGGGUANAGGCCCACCAAGGCGACUAUCCGUAUCUGGUCUGAGAGGAUGAUCAGCCACACUGGAACUGAGACACGGUCCAGACUCCUACGGGAGGCAGCNGUGGGGAAUAUUGGACAAUGGGCGCGAGCCUGAUCCACCCAUACCGCGUGUGUGAAAAAGGCCUUCGGGUUGUAAAGCCCUUUUGUUG
rnacentral:rRNA from 1 species